rnacentral:rRNA from 1 species
CACGUAGGGUGCGAGCGUUGUCCGGAAUUAUUGGGCGUAAAGAGCUCGUAGGCGGUGUGUCGCGUCGGCUGUGAAAACCCGGAGCUCAACUCCGGGCCUGCAGUCGAUACGGGCGGACUGGAGUGUUGCAGGGGAGACUGGAAUUCCUGGUGUAGCGGUGAAAUGCGCAGAUAUCAGGAGGAACACCGGUGGCGAAGGCGGGUCUCUGGGCAACUACUGACGCUGAGGAGCGAAAGCGUGGGGAGCGAACAGG